GAUGAACGCUGGCGGCGUGCCUAAUACAUGCAAGUCGAGCGAACAGACGAGAAGCUUGCUUCUCUGAUGUUAGCGGCGGACGGGAGAGUAACACGAGGAUAACCUACCUAUAAGACUGGGAAAACUUCGGGAAACCGGAGCUAAUACCGGAUAAUAUUUUGAACCGCAUGGUUCAAAAGUGAAAGACGGUCUUGCUGUCACUUAUAGAUGCAUCCGCGCUGCAUUAGGUAGUUGGGAAGGUAACGGCCUAGCAAGGCAACUAUGCGUGACCGACCUGAGGGACGGAUCGCCCACCCUGGAAGUGAGACACGGUCCAGAGGCCUACGGGAGGCAGCAGUAGGGAAUCUUCCGCAGCGGGCGAGAGCCUGGCGGAGCAACGCCGCGUGAGUUAUGAAGGUCUUGCGAUCGUAAUACUCUGUUAUUAGGGAAGAACAUAUGUGUAAGUAACUGUGCACAUCUUGACGGUAACUAAUCAGAAAGCCACGGCUAACUACGUG
rnacentral:rRNA from 1 species